UUUUUUCUACCCAGCCUAAGACAUUUAAAAUAAUCUCCUUGGCCUAUAGAACUUUAAAAUCAUGGUUUAUGAUAGCCAUGUGGAAAGAUCGCAAAUUUAUUCGGCCAUGUCAAAAAACCUGUAUUGACAUAACACUACUGGGUCACCAAUGCCGUGGAAAUGGUCAAAUUAAUAUGCUUAAAUAAUUCUGAAAAGAGAUGUUGCCUAAGGGUUUUUCUCUCUUUUUCCUGGGAUUACAGAAGUUAAAAUACAAAAGUUUUACACCAGCUAGGGCCCCCUUGUCACAUAACACCACGUUUCUCCUGUUACAUGGCACAGAACAUUCUUUCUACAAUUUUAUUUUUAUUUGUGGAUCUGGAGGAUGAAUUGCACACACCUGUCAGGUGGACUUUCAGUGUAAUAUAUUGACCAGUCAACCUCCUUAUGAGAAAAGAUGAAAUAACUUGAGAGUUCAUGACUUCAGGUGAAGUACAAAUCCACCAAAUAAGAGAAUACCCUUCAGUAUGAUUUCUAGAUUUGAUCAUGCUAUGAGCAUACAAUGAAAAGGAGGAGUAUCAUUUUCCCAUUUCAAUUUUCAUCUGCAGAGGACCAGACUAAUGUCAAAAUUUGACGGUCCUGUUUGCAAGGCUGGUAAAAAAUUUGACUGGACUGAUAAAUUUCAAGAAAAUGUCAGUCCAAAUGACCACAUGAUGCAAAUUGUAAAAAGAUGGGAUUGAAUCAGAGUGUGCACGUGAAGGG